UGGGACAGAUGAUUAGGGUGAAGUCGUAACAAGGUAGCCGUAGGAGAACCUGCGGCUGGAUCACCUCCUUUCUAAGGAAUAUU
rnacentral:rRNA from 1 species